rnacentral:rRNA from 1 species
GACGAACGCUGGCGGCGUGCCUAAUACAUGCAAGUAGAACGCAGUUGCGCACGGGUGAGUAACACGUAGGUGACUGCCUGGUAGCGGGGGGUAUAUGUUGGAAACGCGAGCUCAUACCGCAUACUACCGGAUGGACCUGCGUUGUAUUAGCUAGUUGGUGGGGUAACGGCUCACAAAGGCAACGAUAGAUAGCCGACCUGAGAGGGUGAUCGGGCACAAUGGGACUGAGACACGGCCCAGACUCCUACGGGAGGCAGCAGUAGGGAAGCUUCGGUAAUGGACGGAAGUCUGACCGAGCAACGCCGCGUGAGUGAAGAAGGGUUUCGGAUCGUAAAGCGCUGUUGUAAGAGAAGCGGUAUCUUACCAGAAAGGGACGGCUAACUACGUGCCAGCAGCCGCGGUAAUUC